rnacentral:lncRNA from 1 species
GGAGAGUUAAUUUUAAAUUAUAUUUCAAAUAAAAAAUAUUUUUUAUUUAAAAUUUAAAUAAAAAAUUAUUUUUAAAUAUAAAUUUAAAUAAAAUAUUUUUAUUAAUUUAUUUUUUUUAUUUUAUAUCCCGAGCAGCCAAACAUUAUAGUUGUUGGUUGGCUGGCAUCUUUCCCAAAAGGGUGUAGGCCAUAACCCAACUC